GCAUAUUUGACAAUGGGGGGAACCCUGAUCCAGCCAUGCCGCGUGUGUGAAGCAGGCCUUUUGGUUGUAAAGCACUCUAAGCGUGGAGGAGGCUACUCUCGUUAAUACCUAGCGAUAGUGGACGUUACGCGCGGAAUAAGCACCGGCUAACUCUGUGCCAGCCGCCGCGGUAAUACCGAGGGUGCAAGCGUUAAUCGGAUUUACGUGGCGUAAAGCGCGCGUAGGUGACCAAUUAAGUCAAAUGUGAAAUCCCCGAGCUUAACUUGGGAAUUGCAUUCGAUACUGGUUGGCUAGAGUAUGGGAGAGGAUGGUAGAAUUCCAGGUGUAGCGGUGAAAUGCGUAGAGAUCUGGAGGAAUACCGAUGGCGAAGGCAGCCAUCUGGCCUAAUACUGACACUGAGGUGCGAAAGCAUGGGGAGCAAACA
rnacentral:rRNA from 1 species